rnacentral:rRNA from 1 species
AGCAGCCGCGGUAAUUCCAGCUCCAAUAGCGUAUAUUAAAGUUGUUGCAGUUAAAAAGCUCGUAGUUGAAUUUCGGGAUUAGUACGCUGGUCGUGCCUUCGGUAUGUACUGGUGUUACUGAUUCCUACCUUCUGACGAACCGUCAUGUCAUUCAUUUGGUGUGGCGGGGAAUCAGGACUGUUACUUUGAAAAAUUAGAGUGUUUAAAGCAGGCUCGCGCUUGAAUACAUUAGCAUGGAAUAAUGAAAUAGGACGUUCGAUCCUAUUUUGUUGGUUUCUAGGAUUGACGUAAUGAUUAAUAGGGAUAGUUGGGGGCAUUAGUAUUCAAUUGUCAGAGGUGAAAUUCUUGGAUUUAUUGAAGACUAACUACUGCGAAAGCAUUUGCCAAGGAUGUUUUCAUUAAUCAAGAACGAAAGUUAGGGGAUCGAAGACGAUCAGAUACCGUCGUAGU